rnacentral:rRNA from 1 species
AUUGAACGCUGGCGGCAUGCCUUACACAUGCAAGUCGAACGGUAGCGGGCCUUCGGGUGCCGACGAGUGGCGAACGGGUGAGUAAUGCAUCGGAACGUGCCAUUGAGUGGGGGAUAACGUAGCGAAAGUUACGCUAAUACCGCAUAUUCUGUGAGCAGGAAAGCAGGGGGACCGCAAGGCCUUGCGCUCUUUGAGCGGCCGAUGUCAGAUUAGCUAGUUGGUGAGGUAAAGGCUUGCCAAGGCGACGAUCUGUAGCGGGUCUGAGAGGAUGAUCCGCCACACUGGAACUGAGACACGGUCCAGACUCCUACGGGAGGCAGCAGUGGGGAAUUUUGGACAAUGGGGGCAACCCUGAUCCAGCCAUGCCGCGUGAGUGAAGAAGGCCUCGGUU